UAUAAAAUGUUGUAUUUGCAUAUAGAAUUUUGAUUUCUUUGGUAAUAGAUAACUUCUAUUUUUUAUAU
rnacentral:tRNA from 1 species